GGUUCAUUCAAAUUUCUUCCCUAUCAACUUUCGAUGGUAAGGUAUUGGCUUACCAUGGUUUCAACGGGUAACGGGGAAUUAGGGUUCGAUUCCGGAGAGGGAGCCUGAGAAACGGCUACCACAUCCAAGGAAGGCAGCAGGCGCGCAAAUUACCCAAUCCCGACCGGGGAGGUAGUGACAAUAAAUACUGAUACAGGGCUCUUUUGGGUCUUGUAAUUGGAAUGAGUACAAUUUAAACCUCUUAACGAGGAACAAUUGGAGGGCAAGUCUGGUGCCAGCAGCCGCGGUAAUUCCAGCUCCAAUAACGUAUAUUAAAGUUGUUGCAGUUAAAAAGCUCGUAGUUG
rnacentral:rRNA from 1 species